GCCAGACGCUCGCACCCGAAUCCUCGUGCCCGCGAUGCACUUGCCCACCGCCGCUCUCCUCUGCCCCAACCCCAACCCCGCCGCCGCCUCAAUCCCACCGCCGCCGGCCUCCUCCUCCUCUAGCGCCGCCGCUCCAGCCCCUCACCUUCUCAGCCUGGAUCCGCGCGACAAGGUGUGGGGCUAUGGGAGAGAAGGCUCCAUAUCGACAUCGCCGUCCGGAGCUACAUCAUCGACGGCCUCAAUGGGGGCUUUGGCGAGAGCUCCUGGUCUUUCGUCGCCGCCGCCGGGUCGGGACUGCCGAUCGGGACUCCGUCGGAUCCGCUGUCGCCGACCCACGUCCCAGUCCUCUCCUUCCUCUCACAGUUCAUGAGGCGACACCACAUGAGGAGGCUAGAACAGCAUGAGCAAUCUCAUCCGUGCCAGUCUGUGCGUCGCUUCUCACGCCAAGCCAAAGGUCAUCUUGCUGCCCUGUUGGCAGAUUCAUGUGUACAAUAUUAGUGUUCAUAUCAGUCUGACAGAUUCAUGUGUGUCUGUUCAGUAUUCAAAGUUAAGGAAUUCAAGUGAUACAUAUAUUGUUUGAAAUAUCAUUGCUAUUCCAUGAUCGGUUCCAUUCAUCCACCAUUUAAUGUUUUCAUUUUUCUAUUUUACAGUAGUUCCCUCUAUGGAACUGUACUAACAAGAUUAUAUUCAGUUAAUGUCCAGAUGCAAGUUCAUGAAUGCUGUUCAUUUUACUUGAGAAGAACUAAUUCACAUGGUGAAGAACAACUGCUGGAUUAUAAUUUUAUAAGCCUUUGUACAGAAUACAAGCAUACUCAUCGAUUAAUGUUAGAUAUGUAGUAUCAAGUGAAGUAGUAUAAAUUUGCAUCGCCACACCAGCCAACAGGAGCGGCAGCAAUAGCAGGGUGUCGCAGAUUGACCUGGAGGUUGUCCCGAGGGGCGCGACACUGCCAGUGGAGAUGUACAGGUGAAGGAGGAGGACGUGGGGACUAAGGUGGUUGUAUGGUAGAUGGCGGAGGUGGACAAGAUGAACAUUUGGUUCGACAGGGUGGUGGUUGUCGUCAACGGCUGGGAGACGAAGCAACAAGAUUGAGGUUCACUUUGGAAUUUGUCUCAUUGAAGGGAUCUUGAAUUCUACACCAUGUUACGACUGAUAUCCCUGGAAUUUGUGAUCACAAUGUUAGUGCUACCAUUGUCAUGCAGCUCAACCUGGGACCGAGCACAGAUGCCACUGCGUAUUGCUAAAAUUUACAGGAAAUGCAGAAAAAUAGAGGUACAGCAAUUGAGCAAUGCACAGUUCCCAAAAUGUGUGCCACAUAGUUCUAUGUUGAACAUAUAGAACUACUUAUGUUCCAUAUUCACCCUAAAACUUCUCUAAAGAUGUGCCAUUAACGACGGUGACGAGUUUGGAAUGGGGAGUGGAGAUAGCGGUGAAGAAGAUGAAGAAGAAGGGUGAUUUAUAACAUGAAACAAAAGUUGACAAUAUCAUUUAAUGUGCAUGAGGAUCUUAGAGAUAUACAUGUUGCACAUGAUUUGUUAUGCCCCGCUGCGGAUCUGGGCGCCCCCUCACCUUGACAAGAUUUUACCUACACUCAAUUGGAUAAUUAAGUACAGUUUGAUUAGUAUGACAAGUCAUGUCAGCAGGAUGAAUAUUUACAAGGUUUAUUAUCUCCCAGGAAGACAAGUAGGAAGUAUGUUUGCAAGUUUUCAUGACUAAAUUAUACAAUUAUAUAAACUGUGUGUUCUGCUUGAAGUUUGUCAGUUAAAAUCAUGUUGACUCGCCUACUGUUUAAAGGUUCUAUUUUGAUCAUAUAAUUAGGUUUACAUCUUGACUCGCUUGAUUUGAUAAAUUCCAUUCUUACCAAGGGUCAUCAUUUGUAUAUUUCCUCUUCGGAGGGUGAUCUCGUCGCCCACGGAGAAGCAAUCCAAGGAGAAGAGAGUAGGUUCUGCGCCCAACCUCAGCUCCAUAUCAAAGGAGGGGAAGUGGCUGCGAGCAUGCCAUCAGCGUUGGGUCGAUGGUGUUGUGCCUCGGCAGCUGGGAUCAUGCAAGGCAGAUGGGAAGCAGCAGUGCCGCCUCUCCCCCCGAGCUCCAGAUACAUGAUAGCAGCAUCGAGGAGGAGAAAAACUGCAUUCAGAGGUUACGGAAUGGCAAUGGGUGGGUUACCUCCCAGGAGCAGAUGACUGGCAUGGUUAGUGAUCACUAGGCCAUGAAUCUCAUGGAUCCCAUGAUACAGGUAUCUGGUCCAGAUCCGACGGAGACAAGCAAAAUCGUGCUGCUUCUUCUUCUUUCGAUUGAAAAUCCAGGUGAAAACUUUCAGGAACUCAGGACGACACGCAUUGAUUAUAUUUCAUUGUGAUGGCCGUUGCCGACACAGCUACUAUGGGUACAAGCAACUUCUAUUUCGCUCGUCACCGGAAACCACCGCCCAGAUCCAUCUCUUCUCAACCAUGCCGACGUGGUGGUCAGGGGCGCUUACAACUUGUGAGGGCCUGCAUUCUCGCUGUUGAUCCGUGAUGGCAUGGCCUCCCCGCGCCCUAGCCGCGUUCUAACUGAUGGUUUGGGUCUGCCAGCGGAGGGAGAGGGGACGACCUCUGUCGCUCCUUCUCUCUAGCCUCUUCAUCUUGAUGAAGCCGUAGGAGUAGAGGGGCACGCGCGUGAUGGAUCUGCUCCAAGCACCUCAAGCCACGCAUCUUCAAGGUGAUCACUUCAUCCACAUUCAAUCUCAGUUCCCGCGUUUACUCGAGGAGAGUUCAAAAGCAGCAAGAGCAGUUGUUCUAUUGCUGGUCGGAGGGAGAGCUUGGCAAGGGAGAUAGAGGGAGCUCUACAACCACGAUCUUGGCAUACAACCCGAUGGCAUCAUGCCCACGUAAGCUUCUUCCAUGUUCCAAUUCUUGCACUUGAUGGUCUUUUACUGUUAGAGCUUACGAAAUCUUAGAUGUUGCUGACAAAAGACCGAGAUACACUAUUUUGAUUGCAGACUAUAUAUUAUAUUAUUCAGCAAGUACGUUCGCAAAUUUUUUUGGUCUCAGCAGGUUGGUGUUCAUGUACAGGUUGCCAUAUGAGAACAUACUGUGUAUUCGUCAAAUCUCAGAACAAAUGGCCCAUUCCGAUCAUAACUAUUCCAAAAGCAUUGAUAGGCUUUUUAAAAAAUCAAGAUAUCUGAAUAUUGAUCUCAGCAGUGUCCAAAAUCCAAAUGGUUAUGUUUGUUCAGAUUUUCCUCAUUUUUAUGUUCUUUGAAAUAAAGUAGUGCUUGAGGUUAAUAAUAAAUGAUUGUUGGUAACUUAACUAGCUCCUGAGAAUAAUUUGUGAUAUAGCUUGCUCCUAUAUGUUUCAUGACAACGUUGCUUGUGGAGAGUAAUAAGGAUUUAUCUAGCUCAUGUAUGUCUGAGCCUGAGGCGGAGAGGACAACGGUUGUGGCUCCAUUGAUGAUAGUGGUUGCGACGCAGAGCCGUAUGAAUGGACAGCAGGCAAGCCAAGCACUCCCUGGAAUCGCCGUGAUUCCGGAAUGGGUGGCGGGUCCCUGCCCCUACCACCCAUGAAGCUGACAACGAUCACGUGGCCUCGUGCGGGGGCUGCGGAGGAGAGGGAGGCAGGCAGGGGGAGACUUGUAAGCGAGAACCCGCACGGAGGAGGAAGGAGACGCCUCAGGUGGAGAUGAUGACGGUGGCCGUGCCUCCAUCGCUGGCGGCGGUCAUGACGUGCAGCUGCAGGACUAGACAUCAGACAGGCGGAGUCGUUUCUGGGAGUUGCUUGCUUUGGUGGUGCUCUUGGGUUUACGAUUUCAAUAUAAUCCUAUGGCGGAGUGGAAGGUUAAUGUUAUUUCUCUGAUAUCACAAUGUAUCUUCUUGGCUCAAGUAUUGAGAAAGUAGCAUUGUCGCAGAUGUAUUUACUUAGUUUGAUAAGAUGGUGAAAAUAUCUGUAAUUCAGACAUGACAGAGAGUCAAAUUUAAAAGUAGCUUUUAUAGUCAUAGCUAGCUUACUUUGGUUUACUUGGUCCAUGUAGAGCUGGAAUCUCGGAGCUACACUUUCAACCGGCUUGCUUUGAAAAUCAAGUAAAAUUAAAAGAAUAGAGGUUUCAAUUGUAGCAAUAGUAUAGUAGUGCUACAGAUCUGUGGAGCGGGCAAGAAUUAUUGGUCAACCUUAUAGCUUCUUAUAGCUUCUAUUUGUCAUCUAGAUGUUGUACAUCAGGUACAGAUCUGUUUAAGAAGGAUUGUUGUACAUCAGGAAUUAAAGUUUACGGAAUGCGAGAAAAAUAAAUGCAUAACUGGAUCUGUGAUUCGGUGAUUUUUUGAAUGUGAAGGUGCAUUCUUACAAAUUUUCUGCUCAUGUUAGUUUAGCCCCUGGCUGCAUUAUACAGACAACAUAUUUAGAUACUUUUGAUUAUAAAGAUCUCUGACAUGAUCAUAUUGUUAUUUUCAGCUUUUGGAUUUGCAUAUAAUGCUGACACCACAUGGACUCUGAAGGAAGUUGUGCUAACUGCUAAGCUUUCCCUGCUUUUCCAGCUUGUGUGUUUCAUUGAUGGAGGAGGUAUAAAUCUGUUCCUUAAAGCGAGCAAAUCAAAACAAAAACGCAGGAGGUAUCCGACAACACUGACGACCGCUACGCCAUUCCACUUAGACCUGAGGGCAACAUCAAAGGAUGCCACCGGCAGCAGAGAUCAACAAGUUCUUCACCGUCGGGGAGAAGGUGGAGGUCGAAUGUUUCACCGUCAAGUGCAGACUUAUCGUUCAGCUACAGUCACUUGAUCAUCGUCACAGACACCGCCACACUAAGAAUUGUGCAGCUGCUCUACUUUCAGGUACAAAAUUGGACAUCAUGUGAGGUGUUAUGCUCAACCCCAGCCAGUUCAAAGGCAACACUGGUGGUGGUCCUCUGAGUAUGCAAAUGACAUAAGAGUGGGCACUGCAAUAAUACAUGCUAAUAGGUGCAGUUUCAUCUCGAGCAGAGGAGCACUGCAAUAGUACAUGCUACUCUCAGCGACUACUAACCUGAAGUUGCACUCAGGCUCUCGCAUAUACUAAAGAGUGCGGCUUUUGGACAUCCUUAGCACGAUAAGCCCAAACACGAAGAUUAGACGCCACCUUGGAUUUGUCUGGUUGUUAGCUUGUGGUCAUUAAACACAUAUAUAUUGUGCUCUGUCCAUAUGCUCUAGAGCAAACAAGCAAUGAUAGUGGACUGCAGUUUCUGGGGUAUCACGCCCAUUUAAACUGAUGGUGCAAGUUCAGCAGUGUCAUCAAUGGAACAAAUAAAGUCUUGAUAACUAGAAGGCCAUUCCGAUUCCAGUAUGGUAAAUAUUCGAUGGGUGACAAAGGGUCCCGAGGGAGCUCGUUUGUGUUGACAACACUCAGCAUAUUCUGCAAAUAUCCUCUGAGUUCACCAUCCAUGAGCUGCAAGUCAUGUUUUCUGGUGCUACAAGUAUAAAAAGGUUCAUAUUUGUUUUAUUAACCUUUUGUGGUGUUGUUCCAAUACCUUUUGGAGUUUUGGCCUAAAAGGGCUCUCUGAAACACUGAGACAAACAAAGCUAAAAUUUGGAGUAUGAUUAAGCAGUCCAGUCAGCGUUACUAAUCCCCACUUGAGCUUGACUGUAUUUCCUGGCUUAAUGUUUGAGAUUCUAUGUAUAGCAAAAAUAUGUGCAGAAUUUCAUUUAAGUUUGAAAGCCAAUCGAUUCCAUA